rnacentral:lncRNA from 1 species
AGGGAGAGGGUGUGAUGCAGACUAAAAAUUUGCAAAAUGUUCAAUAACAUGAAAUUUUUUAAUUUGAAGCUCCUAGAUGCAAGUUUUAGAUUGGAAUUUUAGGUUUUCUAAUUUGUUUGGAAUCCAAUAAUGACAAUCAACAUUGUGUCAUACUAUCUUUAAGUCCCUAACUUCGGGAGCUCUACAAGGAGAGAGAUUAGGUAAACGAAGAGGUUGGUUAUUGUUCAUAUUACUAUAGCAUGAUUACUGAUGCGACAAUACUCAUGUGUGUUAGGAGUCAAUAAGUGUCUUGUUUGUUUCUCUACAAGUAGAGAGUCCCAAAAGGACUUAAAUUCAGUAACUUGUGGGUCAAGCUUGUGAAUCUUCAAUGGCCAACAGGAUAUAUGUGGUGGAGGGGAAGCACUGACUUUAGUGGAAAGACAGAGUUCAGCUCGAGGUGAUCUUCAGAAAGAUCACCUCCUAAUGGAUGGAGGGACUGCUUUUUGGUGGCUAUUGCUUCUGAAACAGGAUAGCCUUUUGGCUUCUCUAGCUGGCUGAUUCUUAAUAGACGAUAUCUAACCCAA